CGCGCGGCGGCUCGGUUAAAGAACGCGGCGCGGCAUGUUCGCCCCGCUGAGGUGGCUCCGCGAGAGCCCCCGUCACGUGCUGGUGUGCGAGGGGAGCCACGUGCGGCACGAGCGGUCCCGCCACGCGGCCCACGUGCGGGACCACGCAUUCAAUUGCCAGGUGUCUUUUUUUAUCCCUGACUGUGGAGCAGUUCCAGAAGCACUAAAAAAUACAGUUGCAGAUAUUGGGCAGUACUACUUGGUGAAAAAUUUGUCGCUUCAUGAGUUAGUUACACAGGAAUUUAUUAACACAUUUGUGAAGAAAGGUUCAUGUUAUGCUCUUACGUAUAAAACAAGGAUUGACCAAGACAAUACAGCUGCUCUGCUACCAACAGGCAAAUUAAUUAUAUCAGUAGACAAGGAUACUUAUGAAGAGCUUGGACUGCAAGGCCGUCCUUCUCUGUAUUCUGGUAAAAAGCCGAUGAGAUACAUUAUUACUGUUGAUUUGACUGAUUCAACCUUCAGUCCUGAUAGUAAGAAAUACAACAGAGUGAUCUGGGCCUUGAAGGAAAAAAUGCCACUAGAGUUUGAUUUCUUGAUGGCUUGGCACCAAACAGGAUCAGAAGAAUCAAGUUUGAUGUCAUACUUUCCCAAAAACCAAAUACAGGCACUUCAGCCAAAAAUAACAUUCAGCACAUUAAGAAAUGUGCAGUGUCCAGUUCUGGAGAGCAAUAAAUUGGAAGGAGAGCCAGAAACAGCAUGCAGUGCUCAGGAAUUAUUUGAAUGGCUAGGUGCCAUUUUCACUCACACUGGCUUAGAAAAUACAUCAUCUAGUUUCUUAUCAACAUAUUCAUGCCCUCAACCGAGCACAACAGUAGAACAAGGUUUGUUGUGUACAAUAACCGGCUUUAUACUUCCAGAGAAGAUAAUUGAUUUGUUCGAACAAAUAUGUUCGUAUUUUGAAGAACCAAAGUUGGCUCACUGGAUAUCUCUCAUUGUUCAUGGCUUUGCUGACAGCCCUGUUUCCUGGAAAGAAAGUGAACAUGGUUUCCUAAAAGGCGGGGAGAAUUUAUACAACUUCGUAAUUUUUAGGAGCUUGGACUACUGGCUUCAAAUGGCAGUUGGAGCAUAUGAUGAUUGUCCUUAAAUAAUGACUAUUGAAGGCAUUCAGAGACACAGACACAUUGAUUACAUCUCCAGCCAUGGCAGGAGGGAAGAAAAACAUGCACCCUUCCACAUGGAUCCCCAGGCCUAAGAGUCAAUGCAAGUGAAGUUCGUAGCUGAGACUGAACUUUCCACUUGACACCGAUGGAAAGAGCUAAUCCUGUUGUAUCUACACUGAAUCAUCUAAGAGGUAUACCAGAUUGAAGUGUUAAUCUCCUGACCUUUUCUAUAACUGUUUUAAUUUGCUAUGUCUGCAAAUGAGGAAAUUAAGUAGAACAGUCUCAGGUUAACUAGCAGUGUUUACAGGAAAACUGCAAUUUUAAAAGGAUUUGUAAAGCUGGAAAUGAAGUAUUUCCUGGAGGAGUGAAGGCAGGGAGAUGGAGGAGAAAGAGAACUACACACUGCAACAAUUUUAAGAGGUGUUAAGAAAUAUUAGUUUUAUUUUAACCAGUUCACAGCUGAAUAUUUAUUCUAUAAAAACUUUACAGAUUGUACAGUUUAUAUAUAGUUCAAACUACUAGAACAACAAAAAGUAGGUCCCACAGAUGCAAAAAUACUGUACCAAUCCAAGGUAAAAGCAGAUUUACACACUGUACAACUCUCCACUAGGAUGAGGUGGUCAGGCUCCAAGUAUAAAGUUCCAUACUGUACAAAAAUAAUGUUUGAUUCCUUCCCCCCACCCACCCGCCCCCCAUUCUUCAUACAUUCAGUAAGAUUGCAAACAGAUACCCAAGUAUAGAUAUCUGGAGUCAGGAAUCACCACACACCCCUGAAAGGAAUGCAAAAUAGGCAUGCUGAUCCAGUAAUGGCAACCUGCACAUGGAAAACAAGGUUUCAUGGGCAUAGUGCCUUUCUGGAUGCAGUCCCAUGAGCACAAAAGGGCACUGUGCGGGGGCAGGGAAGAGAAAAUUGCAUCCAGCAUCUGGGUGUUGCAGUGUGGUACUCUGGUAUCAAGUAUGCACUGCUAAACAGAUGGGUGAUUCUUCUAACUUGAAGGCAGAGGAACCGAUUCCAAGAACCCACUCUGACAUGAAAUCAUCUGACAGAGCUGAUCGCCUGGCAGUGGAGAUCCUCAUCCACUGCAGAAUGCAUGCAGCCUGCUGCUGCAUGGAAGGAUCUCUGGAUCAGGGCCAUAGUGUAUAAUUCAAAUUAAAAACAAAUAUUAAACAUCUAAUAUAAGGUAAGGUGUUUUUUUGUUGUUGUAAAAAAAGGGAAUAUUUAAUAGUGUGCCAAAAGAAAUUUUAACUUAUUAAAUAAAAUAUAUUCUACGUGAAGCUAAAAAUGAACAUAAAAUACAUUUUUUUGGUGUAAUUCAAACAGAAGAACAAAAAGAACAAACCAGCAAACCGAAGAACCAAAAAACAAAAAAACUUAUAUAGAGUUGUUUUCUCACCCAGCAACAGAAGCAAUUAUGUAGUUAAAAUAAUAAAACCCGCUAAGACUAAGCUAUAAUUUAAGAUAUCCAUAGUAUAUAUGGUAUUUCAGUGAUUCACUAAUACUGCAAAUGAAGCUUCUUUUUCAAUGACAGACUGGCUUCUUCAUGCUCUCUGGGUAGGAAUCGGGCAUGCUCCCCUAAACAAGAAGGGCUGAGUGUUUUUUAUAGCAUAAAUCCUGAGCACACUCAUUUUUUUUAGGAGGUGGGGAUGGGGGGCGGGAGAAGAGACAGAGAAAAUAGACCAUUUAAUUACAAGGUUUUCUUUUAAAAAAUAAUUGUCUUUUUUUUUUUUUGAAUGCAUCAUUACUUGAGGUAUUUAGAACCUUCCUCAGAAUUCAAGGCAAUGCCUCUUCUCAACUAACUCUUUUUGGGCAGUGAAAGUAAGGGCUGGCCAAUACCCGUUUCAAUUCUGUACUCUAGUGAAAAAAUAUCUCAUUGCUUCAGGACCUUCCUGCCACAUACAAAGUAACUCAACACCUCAUUUUAUCCACCUUUUUCUUCUGAUACAGUACUAGCCAAUGAUAAAGUAGAAGACAAAAGUUUGGUAGUGCACUCCAUUAUAGUUUUUUUUUAGUUCGUGUAUAUAAAGAAAUAUAAUAUAUAUAUUUAUAAUCUAUAUAUGGAGAAAGGAAAUUUGUUCAAUGCUUAACAUACAGUACUUCUUUAAUUUUUUUUU